rnacentral:rRNA from 1 species
GAUGAACGCUGGCGGCGUGCCUAAUACAUGCAAGUCGAACGCAUUGAGAGAAGUGCUUGCACUUUUCAAUUUGAGUGGCGAACGGGUGAGUAACACGUGGGCAACCUACCUGAUAGCGGGGGAUAACGAGUGGAAACAUUCGCUAAUACCGCAUAACAAUAGAGAAGGCAUCUUCUUUAUUUAAAAGGCGCUUUCAAGCGUCACUAUCAGAUGGGCCCGCGGUGCAUUAGUUAGUUGGUGGGGUGAAGGCCUACCAAGACGAUGAUGCAUAGCCGAGUUGAGACACUGAUCGGCCACAUUGGGACUGAGAAACGGCCCAACCUACUACGGGAGGCUGCAGUAGGGAAUCUUCCACAAUGGACGAAAGUCUGAUGGAGCAACGCCGCGUGUGUGAUGAAGGCUUUCGGGUCGUAAAGCACUGUUGUAUGGGAAGAAAUGCUAGGCUAGGAAAUGAGCUUAGUUUGACGGUACCAUACCAGAAAGGGACGGCUAAAUACGUGCCAGCCGCCGCCGUAA